GACAGGUGCUGCAUGGCUGUCGUCAGCUCGUGUUGUGAAAUGUUGGGUUAAGUCUCGCAACGAGCGCAACCCCUAUCUUUAGUUGCCAGCAUUAAGUUGGGCACUCUAGAGAGACUGCCCGGGUUAACCGGGAGGAAGGUGGGGAUGACGUCAAGUCCUCAUGGCCCUUAUGCCUAGGGCUACACACGUAAUACAAUGGUACAUACAAAGGGAUGCGAUCCGGUGACGGUUAGCUAAUCCCAAAAAGUGUAUCUCAGUCCGGAUUGGAGUCUGCAACUCGACUCCAUGAAGUUGGAAUCGCUAGUA
rnacentral:rRNA from 1 species